AACGCGAAGAACCUUACCUGGGCUCGAAAUGGAGUGGAUCGGGGUGGAAACAUCCCUUCCCCGCAAGGGGCUGCUCUAUAGGUGCUGCAUGGCUGUCGUCAGCUCGUGUCGUGAGAUGUUGGGUUAAGUCCCGCAACGAGCGCAACCCUUAUCCCUAGUUGCCAUCGGGUCAAGCCGGGCACUCUAGUGAAACUGCCUGGGAUAACCAGGAGGAAGGUGGGGAUGACGUCAAGUCCUCAUGGCCUUUAUGUCCAGGGCUACACACGUGCUACAAUGGCCGGUACAAACCGUCGCAAACCCGCAAGGGGAAGCUAAUCGGAAAAAGCCGGCCUCAGUUCGGAUUGGAGUCUGCAACCCGACUCCAUGAAGCUGGAAUCGCUAGUAAUCGCGGAUCAGAACGCCGCGGUGAAUACGUUCCCGGGCCUUGUACACACCGCUCGCGA
rnacentral:rRNA from 1 species